CACGUAGGGCGCAAGCGUUGUCCGGAAUUAUUGGGCGUAAAGAGCUCGUAGGCGGUCUGUUACGUCUGCUGUGAAAACCCAGGGCUUAACCCUGGGCUUGCAGUGGAUACGGGCAGACUAGAGGCAGGUAGGGGAGAAUGGAAUUCCCGGUGUAGCGGUGAAAUGCGCAGAUAUCGGGAGGAACACCGGUGGCGAAGGCGGUUCUCUGGGCCUGUACUGACGCUGAGGAGCGAAAGCGUGGGGAGCGAACAGG
rnacentral:rRNA from 1 species